UUUUGGACAAUGGGCGAAAGCCUGAUCCAGCCAUUCCGCGUGAGUGAAGAAGGCCUUCGGGUUGUAAAGCUCUUUCGCACCCCCCCCAAAACUUAGGCGCUAAUAUCGCUUGAGGUUGACGGUACCUUGAUAAGAAGCACCGGCUAACUACGUGCCAGCAGCCGCGGUAAUACGUAGGGUGCGAGCGUUAAUCGGAAUUACUGGGCGUAAAGCGUGCGCAGGCGGUUUUGUAAGUCAGAUGUGAAAUCCCCGAGCUCAACUUGGGAACUGGGUUUGAAACUAUAAGACUAGAAUAUGUCAGAGGGGGGUAGAAUUCCACGUGUAGCAGUGAAAUGCGUAGAGAUGGGAGGAAUACCAAUGGCGAAGGCAGCCCCCUGGGAUAAUAUUGACGCUCAUGCACGAAA
rnacentral:rRNA from 1 species